AUUGAACGCUGGCGGCAUGCCUUACACAUGCAAGUCGAACGGCAGCACGGGAGCAAUCCUGGUGGCGAGUGGCGAACGGGUGAGUAAUAUAUCGGAACGUGCCCAGUAGUGGGGGAUAACUGCUCGAAAGAGCAGCUAAUACCGCAUACGACCUGAGGGUGAAAGGGGGGGAUCGCAAGACCUUUCGCUAUUGGAGCGGCCGAUAUCAGAUUAGCUAGGUGGUGGGGGUAAAGGCCUACCAAGGCAACGAUCUGUAGUUGGUCUGAGAGGACGACCAGCCACAGUGGAACGGAGACACGGCCCGGACUCCUACGGGAGGCAGCAGUGGGGAAUUUGGGACAAUGGGCGCAAGCCUGAUCCAGCAAUGCCGCGGGCAGGAAGAAGGCCUUCGGGUUGUAACUGCUUUUGUCAGGGAAGAAAUCCUCUAGGUUAAUACCCUUGGGGGGAUGACGGUACCUGAAGAAUAAGCACCGGCUAACUACGUGCCAGCCGCCGCAGUAAAAC
rnacentral:rRNA from 1 species